CGGGACCCAUUUCCGGUCGGACGGCCUCCCUCCUCCUGCACAGCCCCCUCCCCAACAACCAUCACUCUCCUCCCAUCCCAACCCCCGCCCCCCCCCCCACCGACUCCAGCUCCUGAUUCACAACUUUCCACCGGCGAUAAAGAAACAAAAAGAAGACACGAACAUCCGCCCGCCCGGCUUGCGUCCGCGCUUUCGGAGAAGAAAGGCUUUAAAACAUCAGAAAACAAAACUCCAUUCCGUCUGCAAACGUCGAGAGCCCUCGGUCUUUUUGUCUGCCCGGUGCAACAUGACGUCCCAACUCCUUUAUUCAAUGUUCUGACCAAUGAAUGAGCAGAAAAGUCCAGGCUGAGACACCCAGAGUCUGCACCAGAGGAUCUGGAGACAAAACCUUACAGUUGUGAUAUUGAACUGAAGUCCCCUCUGCCGUUUCAUGGGAAAGUAAAUAAAACAAAAAUCACCCAACUCCGUUCAAAAAAAGAGCCAGAACUUUCUAAUUCCGUGACUUGUAUAAUACGGUCUGUCAAUAAAGAUCAGACAAAAAAUGA